rnacentral:rRNA from 1 species
AAGCCCAGCUUGCUGGGUGGAUUAGUGGCGAACGGGUGAGUAACACGUGAGCAACCUGCCCCUGACUCUGGGAUAAGCGCUGGAAACGGCGUCUAAUACUGGAUACGAACCAUGAAGGCAUCUUCAGUGGUUGGAAAGAUUUAUUGGUUGGGGAUGGGCUCGCGGCCUAUCARCUUGUUGGUGAGGUAAUGGCUCACCAAGGCGUCGACGGGUAGCCGGCCUGAGAGGGUGACCGGCCACACUGGGACUGAGACACGGCCCAGACUCCUACGGGAGGCAGCAGUGGGGAAUAUUGCACAAUGGGCGCAAGCCUGAUGCAGCAACGCCGCGUGAGGGAUGACGGCCUUCGGGUUGUAAACCUCUUUUAGCAGGGAAGAAGCGAGAGUGACGGUACCUGCAGAAAAAGCACCGGCUAACUACGUGCCAGCAGCCGCGGUAAUACGUAGGGUGCAAGCGUUAUCCGGAAUUAUUGGGCGUAAAGAGCUCGUAGGCGGUUUGUCGCGUCUGCUGUGAAAUCUGGGGGCUCAACCCCCAGCCUGCAGUGGGUACGGSCAGACUASAGUGCGGUAGGGGAGAUUGGAAUUCCUGGUGU